rnacentral:misc_RNA from 1 species
CUUUGCCACUUUGUAGGGUGUAUUGAGUAGUGUCUGAUAGUGUGUGUUGUGAGUUUUUGUCAUCUUGUAUGUUACGUUAAUGUAGGAAUAUACCGCUUGUGCAAGUUUAAUAGCUUUAAGUAAUCAUCAAAGACAGAAGAACGUUCGUAUGUAUGGUAGCACCAUAACUGAUUAAUGUAAUAUUUUUGCUCACAAUCGUGUUAACUGCUCAGCUUUUGGUUAUAUUUAUAUAUAGAUGCCAUGAGUUUGGGAGACGUAAGAAGUGACUCGGAAGAAGAAGGUGAUAAGUCUAGGAGUGUCAGUCCUGACUCACAAAGAUCAGCUAGUGUAGCAAGGAGCAGAUCAAGAUCAAAAUCAAAUUCUGCCAGUCCUAAAUCUUCACCAGUCAGAUCUAAUCUAUCAUCUCCAGUACGGAAUGGAUCACCAGCUUCUGUUCAUUCCAAUGUUAGCUCCAAAAAAUCUUACUCUAGAACACCAUCGAGAUCACCAUCACCAAGUAGAUCUGUUUCACCAUCAAAUGGAAAACGGGGACGAUCUAGAUCAAGCUCUAAAUCUGGCUACAGAAGAAGCACAUCAAGAUCACGUUCGAAAUCUCGUUCUCCAGGACUUACGGAGAAAGAUGUGAGAAAUAGCUCACAAUCGCCGCAUUCCCAUCGCUCAAUAAAAUCAGGCUCAAGAUCUAGAAGCUCUUCUCGAUCUGGAUCAAGAAAAAGCUCUCACGCAGCAUCAAGAAAUAACUCACGUUCUCGAUCUAGAUCAAAUUCGGUAAAACUUGAUAACUCUUCACCUAGAGAUAUUUCACCAAAAACAAAUUUUCGAUCAUCCUCAAGGUCUCCUUCACCUCAGGCAGCUUCCAAAUCACAAUCUCGUUCGAGGUCACGUUCCCGAUCUCGGUCUGGUUCCCCGAAAGAAACUAUUCGCUCUCCUUCUCCGCCUGGUACUCCCAAAUCUUCUCACAGAUCCAGAUCCAGAUCUAGAUCGGGAUCGGCCAGAUCUAGCCCGAGAAUCAAAAGUGGCUCAAAAUCAAGAUCAAGAUCACCAUCUGGAUCAAAAAGAGGUUCUCCCUCACCUCCCGCAUCGCCAAAUCGAUCUCCAGCUACCGCCAGGCAAUCACGUUCGAGAUCAAAAUCACGCUCAAGAUCCAAAUCACGUUCUGCGAAAGGUUCUCCCGAAUCAAGGAAGAGUUCUCGUUCUAGAUCUCGUUCCAAUUCAGUAGGAAGAAAAUCUAAGUCAAGGUCUAGAUCAAGAUCUGGUUCCGGAUCUAGAAAACAAUCAAGAUCGCCCUCGGCGGAAGGAAGAGCUUUAUCACGUUCGAAGUCCAGAUCAAAAUCUAGAUCGGUAUCGGGUUCGAGAAAAAGCUCGAGAUCGCGAUCCAGAUCGCACAAAUCUGGGUCAAGGUCCAAGUCGAGAUCCGUAUCAGGAUCACGUAAAGGUUCUGUAUCUCCAGCGCGCUCGGGAAGGAAUUCACGUUCUAGAUCCCGUUCUAGCUCGCAUUCCAGUAAAUCUAAAUCGAGAUCUCGUUCCGGUUCAAGAGCAUCUCGUUCAAGAUCUCGUUCUGGGUCUAGGAAAUCUGUAUCGAGAUCGAAAUCAAGAUCACGAUCUCGUUCAAGAUCAAAGUCUGGCUCAAGAUCACGUUCAGGUUCGCGUUCAGGUUCACGUUCGAGAUCGAGGUCAGGAUCUAGAUCGAAGUCAAGGUCAAAGUCGCGAUCGAAGUCAAGAUCGAGGUCGAAAUCAAAAUCACGCUCCAGAUCGCGCUCAAGGUCAAGAUCAGGUUCAGCAGUCGGAUCUAGACACUCGUCGCGUUCAAAGUCGCGAUCUAAAUCGAGAUCUAGAUCAGGCUCCAGAUCCAGAAAAUCUAGAAGUCCCAGCAGAGAUUCGGAAGGUGCUGUCAGGAAACGAAAUAGAGUACUAUCAGAUUCUGAAGAUGAUGAAGGAAAUAAAGCGAAGAAACGGUCAAGGCAUGGAUUAUCAGAUUCGGAACGCGAGGAUCAGGAAGACGAAGACGGGAAGAAAAAAGACGAUGACGCACAUCACGAAGGAGAGGGUGAAGACAAGGAACACAAACAAUUAGAUGAUGAAGCUGGAAUCAAUGACCAGAAUGAUAAUGUAGAUUCUGAUGAUGGCAUUAUUGCUGAUGGCGGAAUGAGUAGCAGAUAUUUGGAUGAUUCGCUAUCUGAUUUCGAUCGUAUGUUAGCGCGGAAAAAAGAAGAACAAUCUCGUAGACGUAAACGCAAGGACAUCGAUAUCAUUAACGAUAACGACGACAUUAUAGCACAACUGUUAUCAGAUAUGAGAGCUGCGGCCGAUGAAGAUAGAAAAUUGAACCAGCAAAAUAAACCGGCCACAAAUAAAAUCGCCAUGUUGCCGAAAGUAUUGUCGCAAUUGAAAAAGCAUGAUUUGCAAUUGGCCUUCCUAGAACACAAUGUACUGUCCGUUCUUACAGAUUGGUUGGCACCGAUGCCUGAUCGGUCGUUACCGUCUCUCAAGAUUAGAGACAGUCUUCUAAAACUCUUAUGGGAGUUCCCAAAAAUCGAUCAAGCGUCACUGAAGCAGUCUGGUAUCGGGAAGGCUGUGAUGUAUCUCUAUAAGCAUCCAAAGGAAACAAAAGAAAACAAAGAGCGUGCUGGCAAAUUGAUCAGUGAAUGGGCUCGGCCUAUUUUUAAUUUAUCCACCGAUUUUAAAACGUUGUCUAAAGAAGAGAGAUUACAGAGGGAUUUAGAACAAAGACCUCAGAAGAAAAGAAAGGCCGAUGACGCAGGGUCUUCCCAAAAAUCGCAAGAUAUCAAUAAGGCCUUGAAGGGAGAUGCUAAACCACUAAGACCAGGAGAUCCUGGAUGGGUGGGAAGAGCUAGAGUUCCUAGGCCAUCUGACAGAGAUUAUGUAAUACGACCUGACUGGAAAACAGACGUUGAUAUUACUAGGAGCGCCAAGAAACCGAUGAGCCGAUUCGAACGACACAUGAAAAACUAUAUGGACAGCAAACGAAUGAAAUCGGCCAGAAGAGCGGUGCAUAUAUCCAUAGAAGGUCGCAAAAUGUCUUUAUAAUGAUGUUUUCCUUAUCUUAUAUCUUAUACAUAGCGAGGAGAUAUUGAUAUGACUUGUAAUAAGUUUUACGAAUGCACAUUUACUGGAGAUAAACCAAUUCUUGUAGCAAAAAUGAUUUUUAUGAAAAAUCGGUGUUAACUAUUGAAAUUGUGUUGUAAAGAUAACAUGAUAAAGAAAU